CAGAUACAGAAGUCGACACAAGCUUACUGACGCAGCUUCAAGUACUGGGACUCCUAACAAGCCUACUUUCUGGAGCCUGGCUGGAGUCCACUCAAGAUGGUGCAUAUGUGAGGAUUCUUCAGAUGGAUCUCGGGAUCAGGAGGGUUUAAUAAUAUGGACUUCACCGGCUACAGUGAAGAUCAGCCAAGAUAAGGACUGUGAAGGGAAAGGAGUGGAGGAGCUGGGAGUCCAUGGCCUAGAGACCUUCAGGGAAGAGCUGCAGGAUUCAUGCCACCCAGACCUGGAUGUCACUUCCCAAGACAGGAGCAAUUAUGGCAUUCAAACUGUUGAUACCAAUUAGAGUAUGGUGGCUGCGCUGGUGCCUGGGCUUUGCAUAUCUAAAUGGACUGACAGACGCUGACCCCCAGGGCCACCAGCCUUGCCAGCUCUCAGCUGUUCCCGUGGCACUAAUUUUCAGAGCCAAAUUACUGCAUAGAACCAAGUCCACUAGACAGAGCUAUUUGCGUCUCCUGAGCCCUGGGCAGUUCUGCUGGGCAGGGCCCACAGAGGGUAAUGCUGCCCUUCAGAGGGUGUGUGUGGUCCUUCUGGGAAGCACCGCCAGACUCUCCCAUCUGGUGCAGCAGGGUAUCCUCUGUAUGCUGCAGAGCAGUCAAGUUCAUCCUGUCUACCCACGGGAGAGGUGUCAUCCUUUCAACCUCAAUGGCGCUGGGGAGUUACCCCAGGGUCCUGUGAGGGAUGGAAUUCCCUGAAGAAGAAUAAACACAGGUCACUCCCCUCCCCACCAAGGGAGGCGUGCUUAACAACAUAUCUUUCAAGAGUGUGCUGGCAUGCUGGCCACAGUGCAAGGAUCCUGGCUAGAGAAAGCUCCUGGAGAUGCAGAGCCUGCACGGUGUGUGUCUACAAAGUUGCCAAGGUGCCCAGCAGGUCAGGAGGCAUGGAGUCUUGUUUUCCUGUCCUGGUUAGUUCUUCCACAAGCUAGCUUAGGUCCUGUAAGGGCAGCUCGCUUGUUCCUCUGCCCCUAGCUUACUACCAGCUGGCUUUGCCUCAACACCUUCCCCAUCCUAUGGCAGCCUAGAAGCUGCAGAGGACUGUGAUGGGAGUGUAGACCACCAGGUGUCCUGCUGUCCUCAGCCUGACUGGGGAAAAGGGAUGGUCACUUGGAAAGGAGCUUUCUCAGACUCUUUCCUUUUUAAUUAAUAUAUUUUUUUGA